GACGAACGCUGGCGGCGUGCCUAAUACAUGCAAGUCGAACGAGAGCGACCGGUGCUUGCACUGGGCAAUCUAGGGGCGAACGGGUGAGUAACACGUGGGUAACCUGCCCAUCAGAGGGGGAUAACAUCCGGAAACGGAUGCUAAAACCGCAUAGGUCUUCGAGCCGCAGGGCGGGAAGAGGAAAAGAGGCGCAAGCUUCUGCUGAUGGAUGGACCCGCGGUGCAUUAGCUAGUUGGUGAGGUAACGGCUCACCAAGGCCGUGAUGCAUAGCCGACCUGAGGGGGUGAUCGGCCACAUUGGGACUGAGACACGGCCCAAACUCCUACGGGAGGCAGCAGUAGGGAAUCUUCCGCAAUGGACGCAAGUCUGACGGAGCAACGCCGCGUGAGUGAAGAAGGUUUUCGGAUCGUAAAACUCUGUUGUUAGGGAAGAACAAGUGCUAGAGUAACUGUUAGCGCCUUGACGGUAUCUAACCAGAAAGCCACGGCUAACUACGUG
rnacentral:rRNA from 1 species